rnacentral:rRNA from 1 species
UACGUAGGGUGCGAGCGUUAAUCGGAAUUACUGGGCGUAAAGCGCACGUAGGUGGUUGAAUAAGUUUGAUGUGAAAGCCCCGGGCUUAACCUGGGAAUGGCGUUGAAGACUGUUCAACUUGAGUCGGACAGAGGGUUGUGGAAUUUCCGGUGUAGCGGUGAAAUGCGUAGAGAUCGGAAAGAACACCAGUGGCGAAGGCGACAGCCUGGGUCCAGACUGACACUGAGGGGCGAAAGCGUGGGGAGCAAACAGG